GGACAGUCACAGCCCUGGGAGCCCACAGACACCAGUAACAGCUUCAUGAAACAACCCAAAUGAUUUAUUUGGAGAAACAAAAUCAUGCAGCUAAGACCUGCCAGAUUGUGGUACAGCUAUUCCCUCUCUUCCCCAAGUAAAUGAUGUCUUCAGCAACCAGUAUGGAACCAGAUGCAAGCAGCAUUUGCCUGAAGCUCUUCUACUCCAACACUGUACAACAGUGCCCUAGAAAGACAACUGAACCACACACAGAUUUGCAUGUCUAUGCCGAUCCAGCCUGGAAAGUACUUAACCAGCAGCUGUGUUUUGGAAAGCUUAUUUAACAAUACAAGAGACAGAUCCUUACAAGUACAUGAAUACAACAAAGACAACAAUCUUAAGAAGCUGAUGAAAACACCACAUCUGCAGCUCAACAGCUUAAAUUUUGCCCUCAGUUCUGCUGUUCUAUACUUAAAUACUACCAAUUUGGAGUCAUCUUGAACAGACGUCAGGAACGUACGAUAAAGGCAACUAAUAGAUCACAUAAUAACAGUGUUUAUGAGAAGAGUUCCAGUUUUGAAACUAACAAAUACAUCAAGAAAAGCACGUCUCUUAGACAGUGGUCCCAAAACCACAGGACACACUGCUCACAAAUCCAUCCAGCACCACUAAGAAGUUACAACCCAAGAGAGAAGAGACUGACAUUGCCAUUAUGCAUGUCUUGCUCAGGAUGAGCAAGCAAAGAGUCCUAAAUUCAUGCCAAAUCCUUCACGAAGGCCACCCAAACACUGUUGUAUUAAUCUCUUUCACCUCAAUUAGUGAUGCUACUGUCACCUUAAUCAGGCUUAUUUUUUUUAUUUGCAAUAGUGAACGCUUACCCCCAGAAGAAAAAAAAGUGCAUUAAUUAGGGGUUCUUAAGUUACAUUCACAUCUAAUGACAUUGCUGGAAAGUGAUGCCAGAAGCAGAAGGUCUGUGAAAGGUCUACAACCAAAUUUCAGGUUACAGAGGGACAAAUUAGCCUGUAAAAGCAGAUGUGAUAACACAGCUAUGACAGUGAAGUUGAAAUACUCUAAUUAAAGAUCAAUACUUUUUC
rnacentral:lncRNA from 7 species